UUCUCAUUAGGGAGUUCUGGGAAAUCGUUCAUUCAUUUACAGAUGAACAGAAAAGACUCUUCUUGCAGUUUACAACGGGCACAGACAGAGCACCUGUGGGAGGACUAGGAAAAUUAAAGAUGAUUAUAGCCAAAAAUGGCCCAGACACAGAAAGGUUACCUACAUCUCAUACUUGCUUUAAUGUGCUUUUACUUCCGGAAUACUCAAGCAAAGAAAAACUUAAAGAGAGAUUGUUGAAGGCCAUCACGUAUGCCAAAGGAUUUGGCAUGCUGUAAAACAAAACAAAACAAAACAAAAAAAGGAAGAAAAAAAAAGAAAAAAAUUUAAAAAAUUUUAAAAAUAUAACGAGGGAUAAAUGUUUGGUGGUGAUAGUGUCCCAGUACAAAAAGGCUGUAAGAUAGUCAACCACAGUAGUCACCUAUGUCUGUGCCUCCCUUCUUUAUUGGGGACAUGUGGGCUGGAACAGCAGAUUUCAGCUACAUAUAUGAACAAAUCCUUUAUUAUUAUUAUAAUUAUUUUUUUGCGUGAAAGUGUUACAUAUUCUUUCACUUGUAUGUACAGAGAGGUUUUUCUGAAUAUUUAUUUUAAGGGUUAAAUCACUUUUGCUUGCGUUUAUUACUGCUUGAGGUUGAGCCUUUUGAGUAUUUAAAAAUAUACCAACAGAACUACUCUCCCAAGGAAAAUAUUGCCACCAUUUGUAGACCACGUAACCUUCAAGUAUGUGCUACUUUUUUGUCCCUGUAUCUAACUCAAAUCAGGAACUGUAUUUUUUUUAAUGAUUUGCUUUUGAAACUUGAAGUCUUGAAAACAGUGUGAUGCAAUUACUGCUGUUCUAGCCCCCAAAGAAGAGUUUUCUGUGCAAAAUCUUGAGAAUCAAUAAAGAAAGAUGGAAGGGAGAAAUUGGAAUGUUUUAACUGCAGCCCUCAGAACUUUAGUAACAGCACAACAAAUUAAAAACAAACAACUCAUGCCACAGUAUGUCGUCUUCAUGUGUCUUGCAAUGAACUGUUUCAGUAGCCAAUCCUCUUUCUUAGUAUAUGAAAGGACAGGGAUUUUUGUUCUUGUUGUUCUUGUUGUUGUUUUAAGUUUACUGGGGAAAGUGCAUUUGGCCAAAUGAAAUGGUAGUCAAGCCUAUUGCAACAAAGUUAGGAAGCUUGUUGUUUGUUUAUUAUAAACAAAAAGCAUGUGAAAGUGCACUUAAGAUAGAGUUUUUAUUAAUUACUUACUUAUUACCUAGAUUUUAAAUAGACAAUCCAAAGUCUCCCCUUCGUGUUGCCAUCAUCUUGUUGAAUCAGCCAUUUUAUCGAGGCACGUGAUCAGUGUUGCAACAUAAUGAAAAAGAUGGCUACUGUGCCUUGUGUUACUUAAUCAUACAGUAAGCUGACCUGGAAAUGAAUGAAACUAUUACUCCUAAGAAUUACAUUGUAUAGCCCCACAGGUUAAAUUUAAUUAAUUAAUUAAUUCAAAACAUGUUAAACGUUACUUUCAUGUACUAUGGAAAAGUACAAGUAGGUUUACAUUACUGAUUUCCAGAAGUAAGUAGUUUCCCCUUUCCUAGUCUUCUGUGUAUGUGAUGUUGUUAAUUACUUUCUUUUAUUGCAUUAUGAAAUAAAAGGAUUAUGUAUUUUUAACUAAGGUGAGACAUUGAUAUAUCCUUUUGCUACAAGCUAUAGCUAAUGUGCUGAGCUUGUGCCUUGGUGAUUGAUUGAUUGAUUGUUUUAACUGAUUACUGUAGAUCAACCUGAUGAUUUGUUUGUUUGAAAUUGGCAGGAAAAAUGCAGCUUUCAAAUCAUUGGGGGGCGAAAAAGGAUGUCUUUCAGGAUUAUUUUAAUUAAUUUUUUUCAUAAUUGAGACAGAACUGUUUGUUAUGUACCAUAAUGCUAAAUAAAACUGUGGCACUUUUCACCAUAAUUUAAUUUAGUGGAAAAAGAAGACAAUGCUUUCCAUAUUGUGAUAAGGUAACAUGGGGUUUUUCUGGGCCAGCCUUUAGAACACUGUUAGGGUACAUACGCUACCUUGAUGAAAGGGACCUUCGUGCAACUGUAGUCAUCUUAAAGGCUUCUCAUCCACUGUGCUUCUUAAUGUGUAAUUAAAGUGAGGAGAAAUUAAAUACUCUGAG
rnacentral:lncRNA from 1 species